UACGUAGGGGGCAAGCGUUGUCCGGAAUCAUUGGGCGUAAAGCGCGUGUAGGCGGCUUGGUAAGUCCGCUCUGAAAGCCCGGGGCUCAACCCCGGGAGGCGGGCGGAUACUGUCGGGCUAGAGUCCGGAAGGGGCGAGUGGAAUUCCUGGUGUAGCGGUGAAAUGCGCAGAUAUCAGGAGGAACACCGAUGGCGAAGGCAGCUCGCUGGGACGGUACUGACGCUGAGACGCGAAAGCGUGGGGAGCAAACAGG
rnacentral:rRNA from 1 species